rnacentral:rRNA from 1 species
AUACGGAGGAUCCGAGCGUUAUCCGGAUUUAUUGGGUUUAAAGGGUGCGCAGGCGGCCAUUUAAGUCAGCGGUUAAAUCGUGGGGCUCAACCCCAUUCUGCCGUUGAUACUGGGUGGCUUGAUUGCGGUCGAGGUUGGCGGAAUUCGUUGUGUAGCGGUGAAAUGCAUAGAUAUGACGAAGAACACCGAUUGCGUAGGCAGCUGACCAGACCGCAAAUGACGCUCAUGCACGAAAGUGCGGGGAUCGAACAGGAUUAGAUACCCUGGUAGUCCGCACAGUAAACGAUGAAUACUUGUUUUCGGCGAUAUAAUGUCGGAGGCAAAGCGAAAGCGAUAAGUAUUCCACCUGGGGAGUACGCCGGCAUCGGUGAAACUCAAAGGAAUUGACGGGG